UGCCGAGCCGCAGCGGCGGAGGCGGCGGCAGCAGCCGCGGAGGUACCGCUGGCUCUGGCGGGGGGGCCCCGCAGGUGGCGGCGAACCGGAUGCCUUUGGCGGGCAGAAGAUGUGUCAUGGGAAGCAGCCGAGCGGCGGCGGUGCCCUCCUGGCGGCGCGGCGGCGGGCGCUGGCCGCGGCGCUGUGGCUGCAGUUGGCGCUGAGCCUCGGCCCGGGGCUGGCGGCGGGCGGGUUUGAUGACCUGCAAGCAUGUGCUGAUCCUGGGGCUCCUGAACAUGGCUACAAGACGCCCAGUGCAGGUGUUUUCUUUGAAAGUGUGGUGGUCCGGUUCCAUUGCCAAGAAGGAUAUAGGCUCAAUGGUACUUCCAAAAAACUUUGUGUGAGACACUUUAAUGGCUCCCUGAGCUGGAAACCCAGUGAUAAACCUGUGUGCCUACAAGAAGUCACAGAUUGCCUUGUUCCACAUGUUGAAGAUGCAGAUGUUCAUAACAAGACAUACAGGACUGGCGAUAAGUUAAUAAUCAGCUGUCAUGAAGGAUUCCAGAUCCGUUACCCUGACAUAGACAACAUGGUUUCCAUAUGCCAAGAUGAUGGAACAUGGGAUAAUCUACCCAUAUGUCAAGGUUGCCUGAGGCCGUUGGUUCUUCCUCAUAGUUACAUUAACAUUUCUGAGUUUGGGGCCUCCUUCCCCGUAGGAACAGUGGUGUAUUAUCAGUGCUUUCCUGGAUAUAAAUUAGAUGGGGCAGAGAUCCUUGAGUGCAUGUAUAACCUUAUCUGGUCAGAUAGCCCACCUAGGUGCCUUGAUGUGGAAGUUUGUCCACUACCUCCAAUGGUGAGUCACGGAGACUACAUCUGCCACCCACGGCCUUGCGAACGCUACAACCACGGGACAGUGGUGGAGUUCUACUGUGACCCUGGUUACACCCUCGCCAAUGACUACAAGUACAUCACUUGCCAGUACGGAGAGUGGUUCCCCUCCUACCAAGUGUACUGUGUCAAAACAGAACAAACAUGGCCAAAUACACAGGAGACCCUCCUGACUACAUGGAAAAUAGUGGCGUUUACUGCUACAAGUGUUUUAUUAGUACUGCUACUGAUUAUUUUAGCCAGGAUGUUCCAGACCAAAUUUAAGACACAUUUCCUUCCACGAGGCAACCAGGAGGGCUUCAUGGGCGACCCCGACUUUGUGGUGGUGGAUGGUGUUCCUGUCAUGCUGCCUUCCUACGAUGAAGCUGUCAGCAGUGGCUUGAAUGCCCUGGCACCCGGAUACUCAGCUGCUGCAGACCAGGGGCAUAUUUUGCAGACAGAAAAUCAGAAUCCCCCUGCUUACCCCGGUCCCAGGAUUCCAGACAUGCAGCCCAGUGAAUUUGAGACCUGUGACAGUAGGUUGGGUUCCUCUGAACUGCUCCAAAGUUUGUACCCAUCCCUGACAUGCCAAACGGCAGCACUUCCCAGCUCAGAUCGAACUGACGUAUCCCACAGCACUGAUGGGGAUGCUGUAUCCACAAGUCCCCGGAUCGAUAUCACAGAUGAGCUUGAAUUCUCACAAGAUGACUACCUGCCUCUGGAUCCACACCUGUGUCCCCACCCACAAGGUGAUACCCUGGGCUGGGGGGUACCCCCAGCUUUCCCAGCAACCUGGACACCCUGGAGAACUCCACAGCUCCCUGGCCUAAGACCUCAGGAUGUUUUCAGGACCUCAAGAGACAAGAGGCCUGCUAUGACCAUGGCAGGAUGUUCACUGUGUAAAUGAGACCAGGUAUGAAUGGUUCAUGGCUGUGGUUAUGCAUCCAGUUUGUUAGAGGAGGAGCAGGUGAUGAGGUGUUUCAGCCUUUGCUUUCCUUCUUCUCCUGAAUCUGUUACAUCACUAUUGGAAAAUGUUCAGUUUCCCCUGAAUGUUAAAGAGACCAUCUUUCUGGUAUUCAAUCUGAGUUUGCCCCUUUUGGCUGCAGCAGCUACCCCAGCGCCAGAGGGACUGAUAACAGAGUGACCACCCCCCAAGAGAGACUUUCUGAAUUUGUCAUCUUUUUCAGAGCGGUGAAAGUGUGGUGUCAUCUGGGUGAAGAGAGGUUGGACCUCAAAAGGAAAGUGAACUGAGGCUUUGAUUAGAAGAGCCACAGAAAAAGAAAUGAAGAAUGAUUGUGGAGAGCCAUAAGUAUAUGUUGAAAACUUGCAAGGAAACUACUGCCAAGCAGGUUGUGAUACAUUUUUAAUUCCAGAUGUAGAUAGACUUGCAUGUGCACAUGCAAAACACACUUGUUUCUAUAUAAAAAGGUAGGAAAUGCAAGAAACCCUCAAAAGCACAAAUUUGUGAUAAGUGGCAAAUGUUCUACUUGAGCUUUACCCCUUGGCAUGAUCAUAGAGAAUUGAUUCUGCUCUCUUAAAAACAACAGCUGUUCACUGCUGAAGACUAUUUCAGCUCAAUCAGUACUGGUGCACUGGCCACAAAAGCCAGAAACAAAGGUGACCAGGCACCAAAUUCUCUCAAAUGUAAAAAGAAAACAGUAUCAGCAAUGGGUGGCAUUACUGAAAAUAGCAAGCAUGGUCUUUUCAGGAAAAUAGGAUUUGUGAGGUAAAGGUUGCUUGGCAGUGAGUCAGAGGAGCUUCUUCUUGGCAUCUGCAGCAUCUGUCUUUUCUUUAGGCAGUGACAUUUCAUGGCAGGAACAGGUGUAGAUAAGAGCAGUGUUUUAGGGCUUGUGCUGAUAGCACAAAAUGAGCAGAAACAUCAAAACAGGCAGAAAAAAAAUACAGGAAAAGGCCAUACAAAAAUGAAACACAUUUCAUGCCUGAAAGGUUGGACUUUCAAGUGUGGAUGAAGCCACAAGUGAUGUGGCAUGCCGCUCCAAGCAUUUUCUCCAGUUACUCCUGGCUGGCAUAAGAUCAGGAGUGCAAAGCACCACUUAGUGCUGAAUUUGGCUAAACUGAGCACUGGGCGAGGUGGAAGGAACUGCAGAACAAAUUCUUUAUUAUUCUAUUCUGUAUUCACCCCAUCAGUGUGAUUCCCUGCUGUGGGGGAGGAGCUGGAGUGGAAAGGCAUCUCUCCAGAGAGGGCUAUGGUGGCCAUUGGGAAGCAUGGCCUCCGGCACAGCUCUCUGGUGGGUGGGUUCUGUUUGCCUGCACCACUCUGGGGCCCCUCCUGCCCUGGAUGUAGGAGCCAGAGACAGCAGCAGCAGAAAGGCUGCCACCCAGCUUGGGAGUUCAUGUGGUCACCCAGCAGUCCUCCCUCUAGAACAGAAGAUUACUUCUACCUGCUUCUUGGUAUUAAGUAUUCUAGUACUGAGACUUCAGGUUCUUUUUUUAAUGCCUGCAGGAAUCUUUCCAUGUGAAAAAAAAAAAAGUUAAGGAUUUUUUCUCUAGGAUGUCAUAUGCUCUGCUACUAAACCACUCUGGAGAUCUUUAAAAGAAUAACAUUCUGGGACUGCAAGAAGUGAUGUGCCUGUUUAACGCUCUCCUCAUCCACUGUGUUUUUGAGUGGCAAAACAUGAUAUGUCACAAUUCAUGUGUCAUUUUUACAUUUGGAGAAGUAGCCAGCAUGGACCAAUCCAGCCAUCCUGGCUGAGUAUGCUGUUAUUGACUGACACAUCUCGAGUGCCACAGGAGCCACAAGUAUACAAGGCUGUUGUGGAGGUGCUGACUUUUAAAUCCAAGCUGCAUGCACAACCCUGGCAUAUUGUCAGCAUGUACAGUUUUCGGUUUCAUGGGACAUUUCUUCUGGUGUUACCAGGGGAUUUUGUUUUACCUUCAUCUCUUCUUUCUGUUAACACUGCAGAAACUCAUUUCUUGAGGCUCUGUCCUGUCUUUCUCAACCCCACGUGCACUGUAUGCUUCCAUGGCAGAACCUGAGCUUGCACACAUACUUCACGUGUACACUCACAUCCCAAGGCAAGACCACUGAAUAACAUGAAAGCUGUCACAGGUCAUUUUGCUACAGCCCCAGUGUUUGAAAGGUAUUUAGGUUAGAGUAAAACCAGAUUUCAGCUCCAGUCAGCCCUUUUUUUGCAGGAUACAGGGAACAGCUGGCUGGUGGAUAUUGCCCGAACAAGUCUCCUUCUACUUCUAAUGGCCUUGAGGGGCAACUGCUGCUGCUGCUGCUGCUGCCCUGGCUGGCUGGCCUGACAGUAGGACCCAAAACAAGGAUUUAUCCUGUACAGCUGUGGAGGUCAGCCAAUCCAGGGCUGUAUUUUAUCCAUAAUAAACUGUAGAAGUACAUUUUUCUCCUACAAUCUACUCAGAUCCAGGAGAGAAACAGAGCGAGCUGAACCAGUUCCUCCAUCACUAUCCUUUCCCAUAUUUCUACUUGGGUUUAAGAAUCUAAAGCAGGGUAAGCACAGCUCUGAUGUGGUAUUCACAUAUUCUUUGAACGGAGAGAGAGAAAUAAUUCUCUCUCCCAGGAUUUUUCCUGAGGAAGGCAGUGCGAAAGCUUAGAGAGAGAAGAGAAAACAAUUCUUAUCUCUAUUUGCUGCUCCUGUUGUUUGGCACAUGUGGAAUGUGUUAUGGAGAUUGUUUACUGAAAGGGAUUUGUUAAUUGGACUCUGGUGAUGGUUGUUUGGAUUGAUUGACCAAUUAGGAAAAAGCUCUAUUGUGACAGUCUGAAAGGGUCAUGGGUUUUUCUUUGGUAUAGUAUAGUAGUAGUAUACUAUGGUGUAAUAUAAUAUAGCUUAAUCAAGCAAUUGUUUAGCCUUCUGAAUCAUGGAGUCACUGCAUGUUAUUCUCCGUCUGGGGGUCAUCCUGCACUGAUACUCUGAGGGUUUCUUUUUGACAAGACCUGACCAUGCUAAUUUCAACAGAGAAACUUUGGUUUCAGUGUGUGCUAGAAUAAAAAUAUCAUCAUUUUCAAGCUAAAAUGUAAUACAUUGAAUUAUCCUUAUGUUGAGAUGAACAGAGCACUUUAUUCAAUUGAUCAAGCUUUGCUCAGUUAGCCUUUACUGCAUUUGCUUUUCUCUUCUUUGCUGAAAUUAACACAGUCAUUUUUGUAACUGAAGUCAGUGGUAGCCAAGGCUCUUAAAGGCAGAUAAAUGCAAAAACCUGCCUCUCCAAAGUCUUUAGUCUCACUAAGAAAAAAAACUCACAGAAGGAGACUGCGAUCAAAAUCAAUGCUACCUAGCCCAGGAAAAAAUUAAUUUGCAGUUCAUCUUAGAGUCUUUUAUGUACAUAAAGCAAGAAUAAUUAGGUUUGUACAUGUAGAAUUUAAUCUUUUCUUAUUCUCUCCAUUAUAUGGACAAACUGUUGAAUUCACUGCUUUGAUAAAAAUCUUUCUAGAACACUUUACUUAUUCCCAAAAUACUGGUUUUUUCCCUGUCCCUUUUUUUUUAAGUCAGAGAUUUAUUAAAGAGAUAAUAGAUUUUUCCAAUGUUAGUUGUGAAAUCCAUAUGGGAAAAAAUCAAAUAAUUCUUGGCAUUUAUUAUGAUAAUUUUAACUGGGACUCAUAAGGUAAAGGAACUUCAUGACAUUACCUAUGCAAGAUCUGAGAAUGUGCAUCUCUAGAAAUAAUGAUGUUAUUACAGCGUUGAUCUUGUGUGGGUGGAAGCCUGGUGUAGAAGGAGGCUGGGGGAAAUGCUCGUGUAUUUCACCUGCCUAUUGUACAUUACAGGUGAGCUCAGAGGUACAGUAAGACACACAUUUUUAAGUGUCCUACAUGUAAAAAAAUGGGUAAUAUAAUGCAUUAAUCACUGGAAUGCAAUUACAGGCCUUAAUUUAAAAGGUAUUAGUCACUCGCCAUAGAUAACCUUCUGUGGCUAUUAGAAUUUCAUAGGCUGAGUACAUUACAACUAGCAAAUGUCAUUUGCACAACCAGCACACACAAGGGGCUGGUUUUAGCUGAAAGCACUUUUUUUCCCCCUGUAUUAAAAUCUACCCCAUUAAAUACAAGAGAGAGCACCUGUUUAGGUCUUAUUUCAAUAUAAUAAAGACUAUAUCCUGGCUGCAUUUUAAGGGGCUUUAUAAAGAUUGCAUGCUAUUCAUGUAUUUUAUUAACAUGUUUAAAAUGGGAUGGGAUACACUGGAAAUGUUAUGAGCACAUCAGUAGCUGGUGAUAAACCCUGGCAAUAAACAGCCAUUAACCUGUUGCAGUCUUUAUCAAAAUGUGAGAUAACUGUAAAACCUGUUACAGCAUUUACUGAUCUUUUAUAAAUGAAGUAUGGUAUUUUCUUGAAAUUAGUAACAUGCUUAAAAUUAGGUCUCUCUGUGCUUAAUUUCAAGAAGCUGAUAAAUCUAGGAGACAGUAAAAUCCUGUAAGCAAUUGUUCCUAAUUUUUGGUUUUUUCCUGGGCAUAUUGGAGAGGAAAUCUUUACCGCUUCCAUCCUAAUCCCUUCUGGUGCCUGCUAGGUGUCUAGCUCACUGUGUGUAUGUGACUUGCAUAAGACAAGGGAGAAGCAAGAAACAUGUCUGUGCUUAACAGAGGCACCUUUGCAGAAAGACAACUUUUGGCUUUGUUUCCAUCAUUUCUUUCAAGUGACAGAACGGCAUGAGAGGACUGUAUCGGUGUGCCUUUUUUCAUCAAAAUAUAACAUGCAGGACAUGCUUAUCUGCAUCAUUUGGAAUUGAAUUACUUUUUGUGAGCUAGAAGGCACUGAAAGGUGUCAGCACAGUGCUACAGAAAGUACAGCUGCAUUAACAAGCAACUUGCCUGUUUCUUUUCUAAGAGAGAGAACAACCACAGUAGCCAAAUAUUUUGGCAUCUUUAUUACAGAGUCCUGUGAUUUACACACAUGAAGCCUGGAGGUUUUUAAAAACUGGAUCAAAAGGAUUCAAUCCAGAAGCAAGUCUACAGUCAUAAUAAUGGUGUACAAUCAUUGUUCAGUGGCAAAUCAGCCAAUACACCAACCAAGAAAAAGUUCCAGGUUGGAUUUUCAACUAUAACUUAGUAAGAACUUUUGCAAAGAAACACUUGUGUAAAUUCAUGACCAUUUGUUAGCAGCAGGUGACUGUACAACAAGCAGCAGCAGAUACAUUUCUUCCAUGCUGAAAUGUACAUUGUGUAUUAAACAAAAAAGUUCUUAAAAACUAUAGCCAUGAAAAGAUAACAAUCCUGCUUACCUGCUGCUUCAGCCACUUCUGAAGUUUACACAAACUGAGACUGGCUUAACUGGCACCUAAACUCUCACAGCAUUUCAGACCUUGUUUUAGUAAUGUCAGUACAAAAUACGUCAGCCUUUAAGGUAUAUGGGCAAACAGUUGGAGGCCCAAGGUGACAGGAUCUACAAAACCUGAGAUGCUUCCCACCUGCAACAAUAGGGUUAUAAGUGAAAAGUCUACAUCAGACAGAUGUUUGUUGCCUGUGAACUGGGGGUAAGCAUGGUUAAAUCAUGAUGCUGGUUCUUAAUGUCACGACAUAAAAAGAGGUGCUGUGGUGGUAGACUCAAUAGAAAAGAGAUUUACUACAGGCUUACUGUCUUUUCCUAUUAUUUAUAGACAAAGGUAACCCUGAAAACAUUCAGAACUUAAAAUAUCCAGUAUCUUCUAUUCAGUUAUAAAAGGGAGAAACAGGACUGCAGCGAGGUGUGGCCUUAAAGUCAGGUGUCCGGCUGGCAGAAGGGCGGCCAAGACCCAACUGCAAAUGUGUGAGCACCCCUCAGCGUCAGAAGGCUUUGGGCUGUGCUCACAGCGGACGGAAUCGCUGCUGGCCGACGAGAGUAAAGAGUCCGGACACUCACUGGGGACUUGUCAGAUUUAUUGUAGAAUCCGGGAGUGACAGACACCCAGGUGUUGAAUCUAACAUGUCUGCCAGAGAGUGACCUUAAACAAAGGGUGCAACAGGGUUAUAAAGGGGAGGAGGAAUCUCAGGGAGGGGUUUACAAAGGACCAAUAGGGGUAGGUAGGGGAGUGGACUUAACAUAAUAGGCCCUGGGGAGAAACCAAUAGUUACAUUAUAAGGGAAGGGCUCCAGAGCCACAGCUAAUCAUAACUCCCAGGUAGGAGAAGAUUCUGGAAGCUUGGGAGGAGUGGGGAGUGAUUGACUGGGCCCAGGGAGAAGAACAAAUUCACAUAUAAGGAAACACAGGGGAGGGGAAAUUAUAUAACAGAGAGGAUUGACAUAAACUGUGGCGGGAGUAACCAAGGUAACCAAAUGACAGACAAUACCAUGGCGGGAAGAACUGGUGAGGGCAGAACCAUUACAGAAAAUGGGGGAGUGAUACAGAAAAUAGGGGAGUAAUUAAAUAAACUAACAGAACACCCUACAACACAGGACCAAAAAGAAAACAAGUUAUAUUUUUGAGCAUAAGUAUUGUAGUAAUUACAUAUCCUCUGAACAGAGGAUGGUUCUCCCAGGAAAAUCCUGGGAAGGUGUGUAGAAGCUGUGGGAAACUCAGAGGAAAAGAAUUCAAACAAUUAUUAUCUCUCUUUCUGUAACCAUUGUUUAUAGAUAUGGUUCUUCAGGGUGUGCUAUUCAUAGGUCACCAAUAGUGUGAGAGAAGAUUCCUAAAGGCCAAUCAGGUCUUAGGUCCACCAUUGUUUCUAUAAGAACUGUAGAUUUCUAAUAAUAAAGUGUCUUUUCAUGCCUUCUGAUGAUGGAGUCUCUGUAUCACCUGUGGCUGUCCCUGAUACCCCUUUGGUUAUAAUUGGUGACCCCAAAUGCAUUGCAUUGAUCACCCCUUUGUGGGGUCACAUGAGAAUCGGUGACCUCCAAUGUUGGGUGCACCCAGGGGAGUUCACACGAUAAUUGGUGACCCCUCUGUGGGGGUGAACACUCUGCCUUGAUUUUUUGAUGACUUCUCUGAAGUGUAUCUGAACAUCAGCCUGGCAUUGCUGACCCCUCUGAGGGUACAGACAGAUUGGAGUGACUGUUACUGACCUAAGCCACGUGUCUGACACAAACUGGAGACCGUCUGGAUCUCUCCAUCAGAGGAACUCAGGCUGACCUUCAGCGUUCCCUGCAAAACAGAUUGGACACCUUCUGUCAUCCUAGAGAGAUAACUGUGAUCUGCCCCGUGUCUUCCUGAGAGGACUGAUCCCGUUGGGACCACGGCCGUUGGCCCCAGGAGGCCGAAAACUGAGUGGGGGACGGCUUUUUCCGGCACAGCAGACUGUCUCUUGAAGUGGAUGCCUGCUGAGGGAUGGGUUUUCCUUAAAAGUGGGGAACCAACUUUCCAGAGAUGAACAAACGAUUAUCUCUUCCUCAGAGACAGCAUGAGACUCACUGUCUCUGAGGAAGCCCUCUGCGAUCUGCUGGCCUGGGCCAGAGAUCAUGGGUUCACAGCAGAUUUGGGCGCUGCAUUCGAUUCAGACACUUGGGAACCCCUUGGUGAUUGUUUGCUAACUGCCGUCACCGCAGGGGAUGCCCCCGCAUCCGCACCGGUCAUUCCCUAGAGACACAUUUCUAAAGCCCUUCAGCGCAGACACCGGGGAACAGGAAAGUGACAAAGCCAACAUGUUUUUUGCCUGCGAUGGCUCCGGGAACCAUGUCCCGAUUGGCUGCGGCGGAACGUCCUGCUCCCUUUCCGCCGGCUCCAACUCUCCCCGCACCGAGGGCGGUGGCACUGGAGUGCAGUUGCACUCACCGGCAUUUCCGGCAUUCCCUGCCCGGCAGGCACUGGUGGGCUUUGCCCCCGCUGCAGGCCGCCUGUCAACACCCACCCCCGCUCCAGAUGGAGCAGCCGGUGUUUCUUUGUUUCGACCAGCCCCAAGCCGACUGCCACCGCCGGCUCCGCGACCCGUUUCGUAGCGGCAGAGAUGCUGCCAGC